rnacentral:misc_RNA from 1 species
GAAAUGUGAUAAGUAAUGUGAAUUGUAGAAUUCGGUGAAUCAUCGAAUCUUUGAACGCACCUUGCGCUCCUUGGUAUUCCUUGGAGCAUGCCUGUUUGAGUAUCAUGAAAUCUUCAAAGUAAAUCUUUUGUUAACUCAAUUGGUUUCUACUUUGGUAUUGGAGGUCUUUGCAGCUUCACACCUGCUCCUCUUUGUUCAUUAGCUGGAUCUCAGUGUUAUGCUUGGUUCCACUCGGCGUGAUAAGUUAUCUAUCGCUGAGGACACUGUAAAAGGUGGCCAAGGUAAAUGCAGAUGAACCGCUUCUAAUAGUCCAUUGACUUGGACAAUACUUUUAUGAUCUGAUCUCAAAUCAGGUAGGACUACCCGCUGAACUUAAGC